rnacentral:rRNA from 1 species
ACUCCUACGGGAGGCAGCAGUGGGGAAUAUUGGACAAUGGGGGCGAACCCUGAUCCAGCCAUGCCGCGUGAGUGAUGAAGGCCUUAGGGUUGUAAAGCUCUUUCAGCGAGGAGGAUAAUGACGUUACUCGCAGAAGAAGCCCCGGCUAACUUCGUGCCAGCAGCCGCGGUAAUACGAAGGGGCUAGCGUUGUUCGGAAUCACUGGGCGUAAAGCGCACGUAGGCGGAUUGAUAAGUUAGGGUGAAAUCCCGGGCUCAACCUCGGAACUGCCUUUGAUACUGUCAGUCUUGAGUCCGAGAGAGGUGAGUGGAACUCCGAGUGUAGAGGUGAAAUUCGUAGAUAUUCGGAAGAACACCAGUGGCGAAGGCGGCUCACUGGCUCGGUACUGACGCUGAGGUGCGAAAGGCUGGGGAGCAAACAGGAUUAGAUACCCUGGUAGACUGUCA